CAAGGUUUCUUUUUUGGAUGUUUUAUAUAUACUUAUAUACUAAGUAUAUCAAGCCGUUGAUUGUUGAUUCUGUAGAUAUAGAAUCCAUGGAGGGGCAGUAUGUAACAUUCCAGCCCACUUGUAAUUUAUGAUAUUAUAACUUAAUUAUUUUAUCCUGCAAUAGUAAUGUUUUAUUAACUUUUACAGUUGCAGGGGCGUGACCUCACUAAACGGUGGAUGGGAAUCAUCAUAUUGUUAAAGCAAUGGCUCAUAUUGCUCCAGGUAGGAAGAAAAUUGAAGACAGGAGCCAGAAAAUCACAUGGAAAUAAUAGAGAAAUGUUCCUAUACCAUAAUAAAGAAUAGUAGUUCAAUAUUUUCAAAAAAACCCCCUGAAAACUAACAAUAUGUACAGGAAAUCAAAACAU
rnacentral:lncRNA from 11 species